rnacentral:rRNA from 1 species
CUACGUGCCAGCAGCCGCGGUAAUACGUAGGUCCCGAGCGUUAUCCGGAUUUAUUGGGCGUAAAGCGAGCGCAGGCGGUUAGAUAAGUCUGAAGUUAAAGGCUGUGGCUUAACCAUAGUACGCUUUGGAAACUGUUUAACUUGAGUGCAGAAGGGGAGAGUGGAAUUCCAUGUGUAGCGGUGAAAUGCGUAGAUAUAUGGAGGAACACCGAUGGCGAAAGCGGCUCUCUGGUCUGUAACUGACGCUGAGGCUCGAAAGCGUGGGGAGCGAACAGGAUUAGAUACCCUGGUAGUCCACGCCGUAAACGAUGAGUGCUAGGUGUUGGAUCCUUUCCGGGAUUCAGUGCCGCAGCUAACGCAUUAAGCACUCCGCCUGGGGAGUACGACCGCAAGGUUGAAACUCAAAGGAAUUGACGGGGGCCCGCACAAGCGGUGGAGCAUGUGGUUUAAUUCGAAGCAACGCGAAGAACCUUACCAGGUCUUGACAUCCCGAUGCUAUUUCUAGAGAUAGAAAGUUA